rnacentral:snRNA from 1 species
GUGCUCGCUUUGGCAGCACAUAUACUAAAAUUGGAAUGAUACAGAGAUUAGCAUGGCCUGAGCAAGGAUGCCAUGCAAAUUUGUGAAGUGUUCCAUAUUUUU